rnacentral:rRNA from 1 species
CCUACGGGGGGCAGCAGUGAGGAAUAUUGGUCAAUGGACGAGAGUCUGAACCAGCCAAGUAGCGUGAAGGAUGACUGCCCUAUGGGUUGUAAACUUCUUUUAUAUGGGAAUAAAAUGUUCCACGUGUGGGAUUUUGUAUGUACCAUAUGAAUAAGGAUCGGCUAACUCCGUGCCAGCAGCCGCGGUAAUACGGAGGAUCCGAGCGUUAUCCGGAUUUAUUGGGUUUAAAGGGAUCGUAGGUGGAUUGUUAAGUCAGUUGUGAAAGUUUGCGGCUCAACCGUAAAAUUGCAGUUGAAACUGGCAGUCUUGAGUACAGUAGAGGUGGGCGGAAUUCGUGGUGUAGCGGUGAAAUGCUUAGAUAUCACGAAGAACUCCGAUUGCGAAGGCAGUUCACUGGACUGCAACUGACACUGAGGCUCGAAAGUGUGGGUAUCAAACAGGAUUAGAUACCCCAGUAGUC